rnacentral:tRNA from 1 species
GGAGAGAUGACCGAGUGGCUUAAGGUGCUCGCCUGGAACGCGAGUAUACGGUAACCCGUAUCGGGGGUUCGAAUCCCCCUCUCUCCGCCA